UGGUCAUCGCGCUUGGUUG
rnacentral:sRNA from 1 species